rnacentral:misc_RNA from 1 species
AACGCACAUUGCGCCCGCCAGUAUUCUGACGGGCAUGCCUGUUCGAGCGUCGUUUCAACCCUCGAGCCCCCCCGGGGCCCGGUGUUGGGGAUCGACCGCCCCCCGUGGCGGUCGGCCCUGAAAUCCAGUGGCGGUCUCGCCGCAGCCUCCUCUGCGUAGUAGCACACGCUCGCACUGGACGGCCGGCGCGGCCACGCCGUGAAACCCCCCACUACUGAAAGGUUGACCUCGGAUCAGGUAGGACUACCCGCUGAACUUAA